AUUGAACGCUGGCGGCAUGCCUUACACAUGCAAGUCGAACGGCAGCACGGGAGCAAUCCUGGUGGCGAGUGGCGAACGGGUGAGUAAUAUAUCGGAACGUGCCCAGUCGUGGGGGAUAACGUAGCGAAAGCUACGCUAAUACCGCAUACGAUCUAUGGAUGAAAGCGGGGGAUCGCAAGACCUCGCGCGAUUGGAGCGGCCGAUAUCAGAUUAGGUAGUUGGUGGGGUAAAAGCCUACCAAGCCUUCGAUCUGUAGCUGGUCUGAGAGGACGACCAGCCACACUGGAACUGAGACACGGUCCAGACUCCUACGGGAGGCAGCAGUGGGGAAUUUUGGACAAUGGGCGCAAGCCUGAUCCAGCAAUGCCGCGUGCAGGAUGAAGGCCUUCGGGUUGUAAACUGCUUUGUACGGAACGAAACGGUUCUUCUAAUACAGAGAGCUAAUGACGGUACCGUAAGAUAAGCACCGGCUAACUACGUGCCAGCA
rnacentral:rRNA from 1 species